UAGGGAAUCUUCCACAAUGGACGCAAGUCUGAUGGAGCAACGCCGCGUGAGUGAAGAAGAUCUUCGGAUCGUAAAACUCUGUUGUUAGAGAAGAACACGAGUGAGAGUAACUGUUCAUACGUUGACGGUAUUUAACCAGCAAGUCACGGCUAACUACGUGCCAG
rnacentral:rRNA from 1 species